CGCGUAGGCGGUUUGUUAAGUCAGCUGUGAAAGCCCCGGGCUCAACCUGGGAACUGCAGUUGAUACUGGCCGACUAGAGUACGAGAGAGGGAGGUAGAAUUCCAUGUGUAGCGGUGAAAUGCGUAGAUAUAUGGAGGAAUACCAGUGGCGAAGGCGGCCUCCUGGCUCGAUACUGUCGCUGAGGUGCGAAAGCGUGGGGAUCAAACAGGAUUAGAUACCCUGGUAGUCC
rnacentral:rRNA from 1 species